AAACAUUUUGUUUGUAUUUGUCUCCAGAGUGGUUUUCACUUUUUCUGCCUUCAGAAACCAUAUUCCUGAAGCUUGGCUACACCUGACACCCGUUUCAGUGUUUGACAAGCUACAGUGACUAGUUAGAGUGUUUGAGUAGCUUUUCCAAGGUGGUCGUUAAGAAGGCAGCCUAUCACUUUAACAUUUCCAUGGCGACGCGGCACUGCUUAUCAUGUGACACACCGCACAGCCACAGCGGCUGUAUGACUGAUGCAUUGUGUUUACAUUCUUUUACUAAAAAAAAUCACAAACUGUUAACUAUGUCAUGAAAUAUCUGACAUUCCGAUUGUCAAAUAUGUGCACGUGAAUGUGUUUUGUUGUUUAAACACUUUUAUAAUGAUCACGUUAGGUGAGCUAUAAACGGGCGCCGCCAUGUUUGUUUCUGCCGUGGUCUGAGAUCUGUCGGAUUUACAUCACGCGAAUUCAUCCACUUCUCCACAACCGUCCAGUGAAAUGUUGGGAGGUGGGGAGAUCCGGGGAAGGAGUGGAUAAAGAAAUACAAUGGAGGAGGAGCAGAAAGAGAGUUCCAUCUGAAGGGUCUGUAUGGCACGGGCUGGGUGAUCUCCCGCUGUACGUUUGAUCCGAUGGAUGGAGAGACGUCCGUCGCUCACUGCUGCAACAUCAUCAUCCUCAAGGAA